UUAAGCGACUAAGCGUACACGGUGGAUGCCCUGGCAGUCAGAGGCGAUGAAGGACGUGCUAAUCUGCGAAAAGCGUCGGUAAGGUGAUAUGAACCGUUAUAGCCGGCGAUGUCCGAAUGGGGAAACCCAGUGCAAUUCGUUGCACUAUCGUUAACUGAAUACAUAGGUUAACGAGGCGAACCGGGGGAACUGAAACAUCUAAGUACCCCGAGGAAAAGAAAUCAACCGAGAUUCCCCCAGUAGCGGCGAGCGAACGGGAGCAGCCCAGAGUCUGAAUCAGCUUGUGUGUUAGUGGAACGGUCUGGAAAGUCCGACGGUACAGGGUGAUAGUCCCGUACACCAAAAUGCACAGGCUGUGAACUCGAAGAGUAGGGCGGGACACGUGGUAUCCUGUCUGAAUAUGGGGGGACCAUCCUCCAAGGCUAAAUACUCCUGACUGACCGAUAGUGAACCAGUACCGUGAGGGAAAGGCGAAAAGAACCCCGGCGAGGGAGUGAAAAAGAACCUGAAACCGUGUACGUACAAGCAGUGGGAGCACCUUCGGGUGUGACUGCGUACCUUUUGUAUAAUGGGUCAGCGACUUAUAUUCUGUAGCAAGGUUAACCGUAUAGGGGAGCCGCAGGGAAACCGAGUCUUAACUGGGCGUUAAGUUGCAGGGUAUAGACCCGAAACCCGGUGAUCUAGCCAUGGGCAGGUUGAAGGUUGGGUAACACUAACUGGAGGACCGAACCGACUAAUGUUGAAAAAUUAGCGGAUGACUUGUGGCUGGGGGUGAAAGGCCAAUCAAACCGGGAGAUAGCUGGUUCUCCCCGAAAGCUAUUUAGGUAGCGCCUCGUGAACUCAUCUUCGGGGGUAGAGCACUGUUUCGGCUAGGGGGUCAUCCCGACUUACCAACCCGAUGCAAACUACGAAUACCGAAGAAUGUUAUCACGGGAGACACACGGCGGGUGCUAACGUCCGUCGUGAAGAGGGAAACAACCCAGACCGCCAGCUAAGGUCCCAAAGUCAUGGUUAAGUGGGAAACGAUGUGGGAAGGCACAGACAGCCAGGAUGUUGGCUUAGAAGCAGCCAUCAUUUAAAGAAAGCGUAAUAGCUCACUGGUCGAGUCGGCCUGCGCGGAAGAUGUAACGGGGCUAAACCAUGCACCGAAGCUGCGGCAGCGACACUAUGUGUUGUUGGGUAGGGGAGCGUUCUGUAAGCCUGCGAAGGUGUGCUGUGAGGCAUGCUGGAGGUAUCAGAAGUGCGAAUGCUGACAUAAGUAACGAUAAAGCGGGUGAAAAGCCCGCUCGCCGGAAGACCAAGGGUUCCUGUCCAACGUUAAUCGGGGCAGGGUGAGUCGACCCCUAAGGCGAGGCCGAAAGGCGUAGUCGAUGGGAAACAGGUUAAUAUUCCUGUACUUGGUGUUACUGCGAAGGGGGACGGAGAAGGCUAUGUUAGCCGGGCGACGGUUGUCCCGGUUUAAGCAUGUAGGCUGGUUGUCCAGGCAAAUCCGGAUAAUCAAGGCUGAGGUGUGAUGACGAGGCACUACGGUGCUGAAGUAACAAAUGCCCUGCUUCCAGGAAAAGCCUCUAAGCAUCAGGUAACAUCAAAUCGUACCCCAAACCGACACAGGUGGUCAGGUAGAGAAUACCAAGGCGCUUGAGAGAACUCGGGUGAAGGAACUAGGCAAAAUGGUGCCGUAACUUCGGGAGAAGGCACGCUGGUGUGUAGGUGAAGUCCCUGCGGAUGGAGCUGAGACCAGUCGAAGAUACCAGCUGGCUGCAACUGUUUAUUAAAAACACAGCACUGUGCAAACACGAAAGUGGACGUAUACGGUGUGACGCCUGCCCGGUGCCGGAAGGUUAAUUGAUGGGGUUAUCCGUAAGGAGAAGCUCUUGAUCGAAGCCCCGGUAAACGGCGGCCGUAACUAUAACGGUCCUAAGGUAGCGAAAUUCCUUGUCGGGUAAGUUCCGACCUGCACGAAUGGCGUAAUGAUGGCCAGGCUGUCUCCACCCGAGACUCAGUGAAAUUGAACUCGCUGUGAAGAUGCAGUGUACCCGCGGCAAGACGGAAAGACCCCGUGAACCUUUACUAUAGCUUGACACUGAACAUUGAGCCUUGAUGUGUAGGAUAGGUGGGAGGCUUUGAAGCGUGGACGCCAGUCUGCGUGGAGCCAACCUUGAAAUACCACCCUUUAAUGUUUGAUGUUCUAACGUUGGCCCCUUACCGGGGUUGCGGACAGUGUCUGGUGGGUAGUUUGACUGGGGCGGUCUCCUCCCAAAGCGUAACGGAGGAGCACGAAGGUUAGCUAAUCCUGGUCGGACAUCAGGAGGUUAGUGCAAUGGCAUAAGCUAGCUUGACUGCGAGCGUGACGGCGCGAGCAGGUGCGAAAGCAGGUCAUAGUGAUCCGGUGGUUCUGAAUGGAAGGGCCAUCGCUCAACGGAUAAAAGGUACUCCGGGGAUAACAGGCUGAUACCGCCCAAGAGUUCAUAUCGACGGCGGUGUUUGGCACCUCGAUGUCGGCUCAUCACAUCCUGGGGCUGAAGUAGGUCCCAAGGGUAUGGCUGUUCGCCAUUUAAAGUGGUACGCGAGCUGGGUUUAGAACGUCGUGAGACAGUUCGGUCCCUAUCUGCCGUGGGCGCUGGAGAAUUGAGGGGGGCUGCUCCUAGUACGAGAGGACCGGAGUGGACGCAUCACUGGUGUUCGGGUUGUCAUGCCAAUGGCACUGCCCGGUAGCUAAAUGCGGAAGAGAUAAGUGCUGAAAGCAUCUAAGCACGAAACUUGCCCCGAGAUGAGUUCUCCCUGAGACUUUAAGUCUCCUGAAGGAACGUUAAAGACGAUGACGUUGAUAGGCCGGGUGUGUAAGCGCAGCGAUGCGUUGAGCUAACCGGUACUAAUGAACCGUGAGGCUUAACCUU
rnacentral:rRNA from 1 species